ACAGAUAGAGGCGCGCCCGAUAAUGAGUAACGCAGAGGAGAAUGGCAGAAUUUGAUGAAUUUGCGCGAAAGGUGACGGCGCCGAAGCGUAUUUUAUUCUGCAUAAAAUAUUGCUGGUUAUGCGGUUAACAGCUGUAUAACUGUCGCCCCCGGGCGGAGUGCUAUC
rnacentral:ncRNA from 1 species